CUUUCUUUGCAGACGACGUUCUCUAAUGGCUUUUUUUUUUGUUUUUCUCUCUCCUCGAGCAACAACAAUGUUCUCUUUUGAGCUGUGUGUCUUUCUCUCUCUAACACUUUUUUUUCUUAAUUAUUAUUUGUGUAUUGUUUUCAAACAAAAAAAAUGUUGGUGCUUGAGAAUUGAGAUUGGUCAAGUGGGGUCCAAUGAGGAGAAGGGAGGUGGAUC